UAUCCAGGUGGAAUGUUUACUAAUUAAAUGACUGGAUUUUAUGUAGAAAUACGCAAGUAAACAUAAAUGCACUACACUCCUCUGUUUGUAAGUAGGAAAAAUUAAUUCUUUCUCAUCCUCCCCAUCUUCUUUACUAGCUCCUUAAGCCUACAUUUCGCAUAUAAUCCCAAUAAAAUUCAUGGAAGUUAUGGAAGAUAAACGAAAACAUGCGUUUCCCUGCACUAUCUAGAACCUUCCGCUCACGACAUAAAGUGAGCGUCUACUCCUUUACAUCUAUGGUGGCGAGAACGUAAAGAUGACGAACUCACUACGUUCAAUUUUAAGGACAAUAGGAGGAUGGAAAAAUUCAACAAACUCUGGGUCAAGCCUGCGAAUUCCGAGUUAACUUACUCCGAGUGGAGAAACCCAGGCUCUUCGGUAUCAGAACCGCUGGUUUCCAUGAGUUCAGUGGACUCGGAGUUGGUUCACCUGGAAGCAAGAGCACGCACCAGCGCCAUCCAAAGCCUUCGUGCGGAUGCCUUCAGUGAACACACCAACAGCUCCAAAAACAGAUCCGAGUUAUUUCACGCCGCUAGAGCAGAGGGUCGUCCUUCAGGCUUAUGAAGAGCAUGCUCACAUAUUUAGUAAAAAGAGCAACAAGGCAGCAGCAGCUAAAGCGAGACAGGCUGCAUGGAAGAGCAUUGCUGCCCGAGUCAAUGCGUGAGUUUGAACGCACCACGCCAUUUAUUUGUAUAUAUAUAUUAAAAAUGUGGUAGAUAAGUCAGGAAAAAGUGGUGUAUUGGAUACAAUUGAGUUUCAGGUGUAACUCAGGGGAAAAACGGACUUGGAUGCAACUGAAAAUGAAGUAUAAAAAAUAUGAUUCAGAAAGGUAAGACAGGAAUACCUGUGGCAAUAAUUCAGCAGUUAAUUCAACAUAUUAAUUCUUUCCAUCAUUACAAUACUUGCAGAAGAAGCAUUUUCUCAAUGCUUUUUUAUUGGGAUUGUGAAAUGAAAGAAAAAUGAUUCAGGGUUUUCAAAAAUGUGUUAUAAAUAAAAAUCUCAAAAGUGCUGUGUGAAUUUUUGUUCUCAACUUCCUUUACCCUGAUAAAUAAAAUCCAGUGCAGCAAAUGACCCUCAGAGGUCUGCUAAUUAUUAGUCCAUGUUGUUUGAUCUCAGAAUGAAACAAAAUUAAAAAAUAGUUAGUUUGCAUAGAAGUAUGAAAACAAUCAUGAUUGACAAUUUACUGAAGUAAUUGUUAACUAUAAUAAUCGAUUAAUUGUUAACUGGGGCACACAAACUUAAAAAAAAGAGGUAAUUUGCUGAAAGAACAACAUAUUCAGUGAAGUCAUUCAGCCAAAACUGUAUUUUGUGCUAUCCAAGUAUCAAAAAAUAAUCAAUAGAUUAUUAACUUUUAGCUUCAGAUGCAUCUUUUCCUACAAAUGAUCAAAUGUAUGCUAAAGGAAUGCUGUUAUUGCAUUUUAGGCUAUAAAAGUUUCUUAUCAUAAAAAGUAAUGGAAUUAUUUGCUUAUUAGCAUUGUUGAAUGUAUUUCCAAUACAUCAUAAUAAAUAAUAGAAUAAUUGAUUAAUAAAAUAAUCGUUAUUUGCAGCCAUUCAAAGAAUUGGAAAAAGAUUUUUUCAAUGUCUGAAUCAAGCCAUCUUUUCAUUUAUAAAAAACUCAACUGUGUAUAAUUUUCUUUCCAUUUCACAAUUAUGCACCAUUUAGUCUGUCAUUUAAAAGGCUGAUUAAAUACCCAAAAUGUUGUGCUUAUGUGGCACAAUGUGAAAAAGAUGGAGGAAUACUUUUGUAAUGCACUUUUAACAUCCAGUAUAUUACCUGUUAUAAUUUGACACAAUUUUAAAACAGUUCAUGUUUAUGUCGGAGCCAUUAAUUUGCAGAUACCCGUAUAAUUUCUUAAAACGAUUCACUCUGAGCUGCAUUCAGCUAACAGAAAACGGGCUGCGGCCCGAAAAAUCGACACUGAGCUACUAAUCCCACCCCUGACGGAGGCGGAGGGGCUGGCCAUCACUCAAAAACUCCCCCAGACCCGUUUCCGAAGGCAUCUCUGCAGACACCUCACCUGAACCGGGCGCCAACCAAGACACAGUUGCAGAUGGUGUUGUUUACGUUGUUGAGCCUUCAGCCACUGCAACAGGGGAAGAACCUAGAGUCAUAAGUACACCAAACUCUGCUUUUGCUUCAUGAGGUUAAAGGUUACUGAAAGAUGAUUUCUUCCUCACAUCACAGGAGGAUGAUGUUCUGUCUGCUGCCACCAAGAAGGAAGCUGGGAUUCAUACCGAAGUAGAUACUAGUAUUCUUUCUAGUUACUACUAUCGGUAGAUUCUUUGACGAGUCGUACAUUGUUGUCCUUUGACAGAGAAAGGCUGGCCACUACCAGGACGGGGUUCCUCCGACCUCCACAGCACGGCUCGACACUGUGGGUUCUUAACAGUAAAGACUUGUGUUUAUUCUGCAUUUAAAGCUGUUAAAAAUUUAUAUUCAUCAAUUUAUUUCCUAGUUACCAGUAGCAGAGUUAUACAGGCAUCAUCUCCUUAAGACUAUUGAGAAAACGGAUAAAGAAAUCACGUAUUUGGACCGCCAAAUCAAGAAAGCGGAACUAGAAAUCCUUAUGCUGGAGCGCCAGUUGAGGGAACAAAGGAAACCGAAUUAUUUAUUUUUUUUGGUGGAGAGACUUGUUCGGAGACUGUCUUUUCAUCUGGGAUGUCUGCAAGGAGUUGCAGAGAACUCAUGCCACAGUAGUGACACAUGAUAAAUGGUGGCUAGAUUGACCUUAUAGUGGAACUGGAACAAGAAUCAGGAGCUGGUCAUCUGAGCCUAAAGUCUCAGCUCAUGGCUGGGGGCAGUGGACCGCCCUCUGCCCUGCCCUUAGCUGGUAUUUAUGAAAUCAUCUUAUGACUACUGUGAAUACAUUUGAGCACAGAGUGGUGGGAACAACAUGCAGAACCUUAGGUUCAAUAGUACAUCCAUAUAUGGAGCUCACACUAUACAUGUGAGUUGUUUAGUGUGAUUUGUACUAUUAGUUAAAACCUUCUUAUUGCAUUAUUAGGCACCAUAAUGCCUAAGAGUUGUUCUGUUGCCUUAGAACAACUCUGUUGCUCCAAGAGUUGUAACUUAGUGCAACGCUGCCAAACUCAUAGCAGCAAAAUAACACACUUAAGUCAUCUAGACAUGGUGAAGAUGACUUGCUGAAGUUAAAACCAACCAUCAAAAUGGAGACUUUGAACAUGGCAUUAUGUUAUGGUAUUUCAGAAACUUUUGCUGCUCCAUCGGGCCUUUGUUCUCUAAGGUUUACAGAGAACAGCACAAAACGGAGGAAACAUCCAGUGAGCGACAGUCGUGUGCAUAAAAAUGCCUUUUCGAGUUCAGAGGUUAAAGGAGAAUGGGGAAACUAGUUUGAGGUGACAAAGGCAACAGAAGCUCAAAUAAAACUUUGUCACUACCAAGCGGACAGAGCUUUUCUCUUCUGUUGCUCUAAAAGUCUGGAACUCCCUUCCUCUGACUCGUCAGUUCUGUGACUUCCUUUCAAGGCCAGCUAAACACAUCUUUUUAAAUCCGAUUUUGUUUUUGCAUUAUGUAUUUUUUUUUGUUGCUAUUCUGUGUUUGUUGAAGCACUUUGUGA